rnacentral:rRNA from 1 species
CAUGCCGUAAACGAUGUCAACUAGCCGUUGGGCUCCUUGAGGGCUUAGUGGCGCAGCUAACGCGAUAAGUUGACCGCCUGGGGAGUACGGUCGCAAGACUAAAACUCAAAUGAAUUGACGGGGACCCGCACAAGCGGUGGAUGAUGUGGUUUAAUUCGAUGCAACGCGAAAAACCUUACCCACCUUUGACAUGUACGGAAUCCUUUAGAGAUAGAGGAGUGCUCGAAAGAGAGCCGUAACACAGGUGC